rnacentral:rRNA from 1 species
GUAUAAGAGACAGCAGUCGCCGCGGGAAUACAGAGGGUGCAAGCGUUAAUCGGAAUUACUGGGCGUAAAGCGCGCGUAGGUGGUUCGCCAAGUUGGAUGUGAAAUCCCCGGGCUCAACCUGGGAACUGCAUCCAAAACUGGCGAGCUAGAGUAUGGUAGAGGGUGGUGGAAUUUCCUGUGUAGCGGUGAAAUGCGUAGAUAUAGGAAGGAACAUCAGUGGCGAAGGCGACCACCUGGACUGAUACUGACACUGAGGUGCGAAAGCGUGGGGAGCAAACAGGAUUAGAUACCCCAGUAGUCCCUGUCUCUUAUAC